rnacentral:rRNA from 1 species
CCUAGUUGAUCCUGAUAGUAGUCAUAUGCUUGUCUCAAAGAUUAAGCCAUGCAUGUGUAAGUAUGAACUAUUUCAUAUUACGAAACUGUGAAUGACUCAUUAAAUCAGUCAUAGUUUAUUUGAUGGUAUGUGCUACUCGGAUAACCGUAGUAAUUCUAGAGCUAAUACGUGCACCAAACCACCGACUUCUGAAAGGGAUGCAUAUAUUAGGUAAAAGGUCGAUGCGGGCUUUUUCCUGUUGCUCUGAUGAUUCAUGAUAACUCAUCGGAUCGCAUGGCCCUUGUGCCGGCGACGCAUCAUUCGAAUAUCUGCCCUAUCAACUUUCGAUGGUAGGAUAGGGGCCUACCAUGGUGGUGACGGGUGACGGAGAAUUAGGGUUCGAUUCCGGAGAGGGAGCCUGAGAGACGGCUACCACAUCCAAGGAANNNNNNNNNNUCGGAUCGCAUGGCCCUUGUGCCGGCGAUGCACCAUUUGAAUAUAUGCCCGUUCAACUUUCAAUGGUAGGAUAAAGGCCUACCAUGAUAGUGAUGUAUGAUGGAGAAUCAGUGUUUAAUUCUAGAGAGGGAGCCAAAGAGACUGCAAUAACAUCUAAGGAAGGCAGCAGGUACGCAAAUUACCCAAUCUUGACACGGGAAGGUAGUGACAAUAAAUAACAAUACCGGGCUUUUCAAAUCUGGUAACUGGAGUGAGUAUAAUCUAAACCCCUUAACGAGAAUCCAUUGGAGGGAAAUUCUGGUGCUAGUAGUCGUGAUAAUUCCAGCUCCAAUAGUGUAUAUUUAAGUUGUUGCAGUUAAAAAGCUCGUAGUUGGACCUUCGGUUGGGUCGAUCGGUCUGCCUCAGUGUGCACUGCCCGUCUCGUCCCUUAUGUCGGUGAUGCAUUCCUGGCCUUAAUUGGAUAGUUCGAGCCUUCGACAUAGUUACUUUGAAUAAAUUAGAGUGCUCAAAGCAAGCCCACUCUCUGGAUACAUUAGCAUGGGAUAACACCACAAGAUUUCGGUCAUAUUGUGUUGGCCUUCGGGAUCGGAGUAAUGAUUAAGAGGGACGGUCGGGGGCAUUCGUAUUUCAUAGUCAGAGGUGAAAUUCUUGGAUUUAUGAAAGACAAACCACUACGAAAGCAUUUGCCAAGGAUGUUUUCAUUAAUCAAGAAUUAAAGUUGGGGGCUCGAAGACGAUCAGAUAUCAUCCUCGUCUCAACCAUAAACGAUGCUGAACAUGGAUCAGCGGAUGUUGCUUUUAGGACUCUGCUAGCACCUUGUAAGAAAUCAAAGUUUUAGGGUUGCAGAGGAAGUAUGGUCGCAAGGUUGAAACUUAAAUGAUUUGAGGGAAGUGCACCACCAGGAGUGGAGCCUUCGGCUUAAUUUAACUUAACACGAGAAAUCUUACCAGGUCCAGACAUAGUAAGGAUUGACAGAAUGAGAGCUACAGGGAGAUUGGACGAAACCAUAGGGCAAAAAAAUGGAAUAAAGCAGAGCUGGGAUGCGUUUUUACCUCUCCAAAGCUCCAAUAUAGAAUAGACAGUCAUGAUAGAAGGUGAUUUUGAAAUUUAUAAUUUGUGGCUGAAGCUAAGAAUAGGAGUUUCUCCCGUACCAACCUUCACAUUUUAACGCCCAAACAAACAAUGUUAAAAAUUGACCACUCAAUUGGUACAUAUUUACAUAACUAACACAUCUAUUUCAGUUUUUACAUGUUUACCACUUAUAGUUGAAAAAAGAGUCUCAUUUUUCAAAGUUUAAAUCUUUUUUAGAAUUUAAAAUGAUGAUAUUUUUAUGUUAUAUGAAAUAUAUGAAUGAUAUAAA